rnacentral:rRNA from 1 species
GACGUAGGGCGCGAGCGUUGUCCGGAUUUAUUGGGCGUAAAGAGCUCGUAGGCGGCUUGUCGCGUCGUCCGUGAAAACCUGCAGCUCAACUGCAGGCUUGCGGUCGAUACGGGCAGGCUCGAGUUCGGUAGGGGAGACUGGAAUUCCUGGUGUAGCGGUGAAAUGCGCAGAUAUCAGGAAGAACACCAAUGGCGAAGGCAGCUCUCUGGGACGGUACUGACGCUGAGACGCGAAAGCGUGGGGAGCGAACAGG